ensembl:misc_RNA 7SK 7SK RNA
AGGUAGGACUUGGCUGAUCUGGCUGACUAGGUGGGAUUCCCUCCUCCAUCAUGGCUCUCUGAGCAUCUCUUCUAAAGCUGCAAAGUCAGUUGAAGAAGGUAUCCUUCCCUGGUAGAGAUAGACGAGUCCUUGGCCAAGGGUGUAUAAAAGCUGUGCUCCCUACAAGAAUACCCAAACAAAGUCUCUCAAGGUUCUAAUUCAUGUUUAUUUUAAGAAUGUAAAACAGUUCAUGGAUACUACCCAAAAUGUUU